rnacentral:tRNA from 1 species
CGGCCCGUAGCUCAACCUGGGAGAGCAGCGGUCUUACAAACCGUGGGUGCGGGUUCAAAUCCUGCCGGGCCGAC